GACGAACGCUGGCGGCGUGCUUAACACAUGCAAGUCGAACGGGCCUGUCUUCUUUUUUGGGGGUGGGUUGAGUGGCGAACGGGUGAGUAUCACGUGAGUAACCUGCCCUUCGGUCCUGGAUAACCGCUUGAAAGGGCGGCUAAUACGGGGUGGUCCGGUUGGUCCGCAUGGGCUGGUCGGGAUAGAUUCACUGUUUUUGGUGUUUCGGCGGGGGAUGGGCUCGCGGCCUAUCAGCUUGUUGGUGGGGUGAUGGCCUACCAAGGCGGUGACGGGUAGCCGGCCUGAGAGGGUGGGCGGACACACUGGGACUGAGAUACGGCCCAGACUCCUGCGGGAGGCAGCAGUGGGGGGUAUUGCACAAUGGGCGGAAGCCUGAUGCAGCGACGUCGCGUGAGGGAUGGAGGCCUUCGGGUUGUGAACCUCUGUUUCCGGUGGUGAAGGCCCUGUCCGUGUGGUGGGGUUGACGGUAGCCGGGGAUGAAGCGCCGGCUAACUACGUG
rnacentral:rRNA from 1 species